AAAUAAAAGGCAGACGAAAUGUGACGUAUUGCAACCAUCAUUGCGAAAAGGACACGGCAAAUUUUUUUGGAAUUCUGGAUUAAAUCUGGAAAUUAUAGUUUUAAUAACAUAAGAAGUCGAGUGUAAUUUUCGUCGAAAAAUGAAUCCUAUCCUUGAGCCGUUGACAUUUCCUGAUAGGCAAGUUCAAGAGGAGGUGGUUACCUCAACUCAAUGCGAAUGUCUUUUUUGCACAGAAAUGUUCGACUUGCAAUCGUCAAACGAUCAAAUUUUAGCUCAUUUCCUAUUGGCUCACAAACUAGUGGUAGCUGAUGUUAAGGAAAUAGUUGACCUCAAAAGGUACAUUGAUUACUGGAGACCAAAGUUUAGGGAAUGUGGUCCAAAAGCAUAUUGUUUUGUUAUGGAGACAGAAAACGAAAAUAGGGAAAAGGAAGAAUAUUUUAUGUUAGCCCACGAACUGCCGGAGGACCAAAAUUUGAGGGAAAAACUUCAAAGAGAGAAAUUGAAUCUAGUUUUGAAGCAGCAGCAGAAAGAAAGAAAAGAUGAUGAGUUUUCUCAUUGCUGUCUUUUCUGUCGCAAGAUAUUCACAGGAAAUCGCAAAGUCCUUUUUGAUCACAUGAACUUUGACCAUAACUUUAGUGUUGGGCUUCCAGAUAAUGUAGUGUUUGUUGAAGAGUUCCUUAAUUUGCUAGAUGAGAAGCUAUCACAAAACAUCUGCCUUUAUUGUGAAAAAACUUUCAAGGACAGAACAGUGCUGAAAGAGCAUAUGAGAAAAAAAAUCCACAAAAAAAUCAACCCAGUCAACAAGGAAUAUGACAAGUUUUACUUGGUAAAUUAUCUUGAACCUGGCAAAUCAUGGAAAGAAAUUAUGGAUGAAUUUGAUGAAUAUUGCCAAAAUGAAGAUUGGUCUGACUGGUUUGAACCAGAAGCAGAAGCUAUUUGUCUGUUUUGUGAUUUCCAGUCCAGUGCACCAGAAGUUCUUUCCCAGCACAUUACAUCACACAAUUUUGAUUUUCUGGGUCUGAAAAAGAAUUUCAGCAUAUACCAGCAAAUAAAAAUUGUCAAUUAUGUUAGAAGGCAAGUUCAUGAGAAAAAAUGUAUCCUUUGUGAUGAACAGUGUAGUUCCAGAGAAGAUCUCAGUGCUCACAUGCAGAAGUUGAGCCAUUUCAAACUACCUGAACGUUCAAUAUGGGACCAGUCACAGUAGGUACUACUUUCCAACUUAUGAAAAUGACGCUUUACUUUGUUUGCUGGAAGACACCGUACAAGAUGAUUCCAUCGACGCCGAUCAAGUAAAGGUGAUUCCUGAAGAAACUGUUCUCAACCUUAAACUGGUUGAAGAAGAACUUCUAAAACUUGAGCUAAUUGUAAAAAUAUGAAUGUUUCUAGAGAACUGUAAAAAAAUUGUAUUUGGAGUGAUCAUGAUGGUGCAAUUCAAAGUUUUAAUGAUG